CGCAUCUGUGCAUGCAGCAUAUCAAUAAGCGGAGGAAAAGAAACUAACAAGGAUUCCCUUAGUAACGGCGAGUGAAGCGGGAAGAGCUCAAAUUUGAAAUCUUCAAGGUUUUACCUUGACGAAUUGUAGUUUAAAGAAGUGUUUUCUGUUGAAGUUUUGGUAAAAGUUCUUUGGAAUAGGACAUCAUAGAGGGUGAGAAUCCCGUAUUUGACCAUUAUUUUCAGCUGUGUGAUACACUUUCAAAGAGUCGGAUUGUUUGGGAAUGCAGUCCAAAAUGGGUGGUAAAUUUCAUCUAAAGCUAAAUAUUGGCGAGAGACCGAUAGCGAACAAGUACCGUGAGGGAAAGAUGAAAAGAACUUUGAAAAGAGAGUUAAACAGUACGUGAAAUUGUCAAAAGGGAAGCGUUUGACACCAGUGUUGUUUUCUCGAAAAUCAAUUAAAAAGAGUUAGAUUUUGUUGUGUAUUGACCUUAACAGCUUGCAUUUCAAUUUUCUUGCUUUUUUUAAUGCACUUUUCGUUUAACAAGUCAACAUCAGUUUCUUUUGUUGUAAAAAGGUCAUUGGAAGGUGGCUUUCUUUUCGGAGAAAGUGUUUAUAGCCUUUGACUCCUGCAAUCGGAGAGACUGAGGUCUGCAGCGUAGAUCCUUCGGGGUUAGAUACAUUUGUGCUAAGUUAUAGCUUUUUAUAGACAACUUGUUGACUAUGAUUAGUCUUGUAGCUUACUCGCUUAUGCUAUUUUACCUACGCUUAGGAUGUUGAUGUGAUACUGCGAGC
rnacentral:rRNA from 1 species